rnacentral:rRNA from 1 species
GAUGAACGCUGGCGGCGUGCCUAAUACAUGCAAGUCGAGCGAACAGACGAGGAGCUUGCUCCUCUGACGUUAGCGGCGAACGGGUGAGUAACACGUGGAUAACCUACCUAUAAGACUGGGAUAACUUCGGGAAACCGGAGCUAAUACCGGAUAAUAUAUUGAAUCGCAUGGUUCAAUAGUGAAAAACGGUUUUGCUGUCAAUUAUAGAUGGAUGCCCGCCGAACUUGUUAGUUGGUAAGGGAACUGCUUACCAAGCGAACGAUAGGCGGCCGACCUGAGAGGGUGAGCGGCCGCACUGGAAGGGAGACACGGUCCAGACUCCUACGGGAGGCAGGAAUAGGGAGUCUUCCGCAAUGGGCGAAAGCUUGACGGAGCAACGCCGCGUGAGUGAUGAAGGUCUUCGGAUCGUAAGACUCUGUUAUUAGGGAGGAACAAAUGUGUAAGUAACUAUGCACGUCUUGAGGUUACCUAAUCAGAAAGCCACGGCUAACUACGUG